AGCGUAGGCGGACAUUUAAGUCAGGGGUGAAAUCCCAGAGCUCAACUCUGGAACUGCCUUUGAUACUGGGUGUCUUGAGUGUGAGAGAGGUAUGUGGAACUCCGAGUGUAGAGGUGAAAUUCGUAGAUAUUCGGAAGAACACCAGUGGCGAAGGCGACAUACUGGCUCAUUACUGACGCUGAGGCUCGAAAGCGUGGGGAGCAAACAGGAUUAGAUACCCUGGUAGUCCACGCCGUAAACGAUGAUUGCUAGUUGUCGGGAUGCAUGCAUUUCGGUGACGCAGCUAACGCAUUAAGCAAUCCGCCUGGGGAGUACGGUCGCAAGAUUAAA
rnacentral:rRNA from 1 species